GGCAGGGCGAGGCGGUGCUUCGAACAGUUCGGCUAAGGAAGGGGUUGGUCCAACAAGAACAGCAGUGCCAACAUACAUAGCCAGACCAUCACAGCUUUCGCCAUCCAGGCCACCGCCCCCCUCGACCCGCGCCUUCAAGACCGGUGUACCCGCCCCAGAGGGUAUAAGAGUACUGUUAAACUUGCACUGUAUCUACCCUGUACAGAUAGUUCUAUGAUCAAUGCUCUGUAUACUCUCCUCCUGCCCUGCUUCCCGAGUGUCGACUGACUAUUCUACCUGAGCCAGAUAAAUCAGUGGUGUUUUUUUUAAAUUCCUGCACCAUACAUUCUUCGCUUCCCAGCUCCUCGAACAAACUGCGUGUGCGGUUCCCAAUCAUGGAAGGACGUUGCAACUGAAUACCUCCGACUCGGCUUUUCUUUGUCGCUCGCGAUGGUCUGAAGUGCGUGUGAUUUACGCUUUUACUAACUUACCAAGCGCCCGAUGUCUCAGCAUUCAAACCACUUGCUCAUAGUCACCAGCCACCACAUGCCUGAGUGCCCAGCAAUGUGUGGAACAGAACAGUCCAUUAUUACUGACGACUAAUUUAUUUUACGAGUCACGAAGAUUGCAACGCGUGAUAGCUAUCAGCUGGACGGCACGCUCUUAUUCCGACUCCAGACAUCCAGCUUCUACAAUGCCCUUCCACCAUCACUCUCCAUCUUCUGUUCGUGGCAGUAAUCUUCCUGAUCUGUAUGCAAAGAAAGAACCUCACUGCACCUUGGUACACGUGAUCAUAUAGAACCAUUGGAGUGUUGGGCGCAUGGUGUUGUGGCGGCCUCUGGUGCGAGACUCUCCCACCAGUGGAAACAUCCCCUCCACACCCACUCUAUGCAGGCCUUGCACUAUUCGGUAAGAUGCUGGAAUCUUGAACAAAAUGCAGAGUGCUGGAGGAACUCAGCGGGACAGGCAGCAUUUGUGGAGGGUCAUCAGACUGGGUUAAAAGUUAAUCCCUCGUUACACAGUGGUGGCUAGCUGUAAAAUGAACCUAGUUGUGCAAAUGAAUUCUGCACAUGAAUUUGGCACCUCAUUUGCAGCGAUGUGUGGCUUUUCAUUUUACUAGCAUUUACUCUCAAUUACUUUAGGUUUCAUACUGUGUGGAGAGGACAAUUCUGGGCCAGAUGUGCUGAGGGUUCUUUAUAACCCCUUGCACUUUGUGUCACAAACCACAUGCUAUUUGCUGUAGAUUCAAGACGAACAUUUUCACCAAAAAUGCGCGUUGCCGAGUUCAGAUGAGUGUGAUAUUUGCAAAUUCCACCUCCAAUACAUUAUGUCCACAACACGAUGACCAAGGGUUUGUACUCAAUUGAUCGGUAGUUCGGAGAGGGGUCCACCACCGAUUUUCCGGCAAUUGGCGUUCCGGCACUUCCUUUGAUCCGUACAAAAUUCCGAGAGCGCACUUGAAAUCCCCCCCCCCCCCCCCCCCGCAGAAGUCCCCCCAAAAGUGGGGUGCUUAGGCUGGGUGAGGCGGCCGACCUCUACCUCAUCGGCACUUCCACACAUAUCAUCAGGCCGAAUUUGCCCCCAUGCGACCGGGGCUCUGGAACUCUAACCUGGCCAGAGCCAGCGGAUCUGUUCCCAUAACCAACUUUGGGAGUCGGUAUCUCGCCACCCCCCGGCGGCAUGUUCCGGUAUCUGUGGACUCCUCUCAGAGGCCGUGACCUCUGUUGUUCCAGCAAAAGAAGUUCAUCCAGAAAGGCUCUGGAACCUUGGCAAUUUCAAUGCCGUCAAUUUCAAUGCCUUGUCAAUUUCAAUGGCUUGUCAAUUUCAAUGCCUUGUCAAUUUCAGUGGAAAAUCAGUGGUGGACCUGUACUGACACAGACACGUGCUGUAAAGCCAAAUAGUCUUUGAAUCUACAACAAGGAAAUAAAUGACACUGUGAUUUGGGAUUUGGUAUGUUUAGUCAAUAUUAUUACAGCCCAGAACCAUGUAAAAAAAACUUACGCUGUGACUAUUUCUUAAUUAAAAAAUGAAUUGAUCAUCUGCGGUUCAAAAAAUGAUACCCAGUAGUGAUGCUUUGAAAUCUGUAGUUGUUAAACUGAUAUUGUUCCAGUGCUUGCACAGACUGUAGGAUUAACCAUGGGCUGGAUGCUGACACAAUAUUUUGCUAUUUGUGGGUUCCCGCAACACGCUUUGAACAGAGAAACAUUUAAUUUCUAUUAAAUGUGCAAAUGUUAGAUAAACAACAGUCUAAAUUUUAUUACAAUAAACCCUCGAUAUUACAGACCUUUUUAUAAUAGAUGAUGUCUUCAAGAACACAUGCUGCUAGUUUCAAUGUGGAGGCUAUUGAAAUUAACAAGGCAUUGAAAUUGACAAGGGAUUGAAAUUGGCACGGCAUUGAAAUUGACAAACAAUUUCCUCGACCGACACUUCAAGGGCCUGUCCCACUGUACGAGGUAAUUCAAGAGUUCUCCCGAGUUUUCCCCUGAUUCGAACUCGGAGAAUGUCAGUAGCGGGUCCGUAGGAGUUCGUGGAUGUCUCGUAGCGGCUCGUACAAGUAACGGUAGGUACUCAGGAAAUCUGGUAAACCCGUGAUGUUUUUUCAAAACACGUCCACGAGUAAAAAAAUACUCAUGAUGAAAAAAAUGGUUACUUUUUACCCGUACGAGCCGCUACGAGAC